AUGAACGCUGGCGGCGUGCCUAAUCCCUGCAAGUCGCGCGAACGGACGAGAAGCUUGCUUCUCUGAUGUUAGCGGCGGACGGGUGAGUAACACGUGGAUAACCUACCUAUAAGACUGGGAUAACUUCGGGAAACCGGAGCUAAUACCGGAUAAUAUUUUGAACCGCAUGGUUCAAAAGUGAAAGACGGUCUUGCUGUCACUUAUAGAUGGAUCCGCGCUGCAUUAGCUAGUUGGUAAGGUAACGGCUUACCAAGGCAACGAUGCAUAGCCGACCUGAGAGGGUGAUCGGCCACACUGGAACUGAGACACGGUCCAGACUCCUACGGGAGGCAGCAGUAGGGAAUCUUCCGCAAUGGGCGAAAGCCUGACGGAGCAACGCCGCGUGAGUGAUGAAGGUCUUCGGAUCGUAAAACUCUGUUAUUAGGGAAGAACAUAUGUGUAAGUAACUGUGCACAUCUUGACGGUACCUAAUCAGAAAGCCACGGCUAACUACGUG
rnacentral:rRNA from 1 species